UACGUAGGGCGCAAGCGUUAUCCGGAAUUAUUGGGCGUAAAGAGCUCGUAGGCGGUUUGUCGCGUCUGCCGUGAAAGUCCGGGGCUCAACUCCGGAUCUGCGGUGGGUACGGGCAGACUAGAGUGAUGUAGGGGAGACUGGAAUUCCUGGUGUAGCGGUGAAAUGCGCAGAUAUCAGGAGGAACACCGAUGGCGAAGGCAGGUCUCUGGGCAUUAACUGACGCUGAGGGGCGAAAGCGUGGGGAGCGAACAGG
rnacentral:rRNA from 1 species